CAGUCGCCGCGGUAAUACGUAGGGUGCGAGCGUUAAUCGGAAUUACUGGGCGUAAAGCGUGCGCAGGCGGUUGUGUAAGACAGGUGUGAAAUCCCCGGGCUUAACCUGGGAACUGCGCUUGUGACUGCACAGCUAGAGUAUGGCAGAGGGGGGUGGAAUUCCACGUGUAGCAGUGAAAUGCGUAGAGAUGUGGAGGAACACCGAUAGCGAAGGCAGCCCCCUGGGCCAAUACUGACGCUCAUGCACGAAAGCGUGGGGAGCAAACAGGAUUAGAUACCCCCGUAGUCCCUGUCUCUUAUAC
rnacentral:rRNA from 1 species